UUUCUUUCUUUCUUUCUUUCUUUUUUCUUUUUCUUUCUUUCUUCUUUCUUUCUUUCUUUCUUUCUUUCUUUCUUUCUUUCUUUCUUUCUUUUUCUUUCUUUCUUCUCCUUCCUUCCUUCCUUCCUUCCUUCCUUCCUUCCUUCCUUCCUUCUUUCUUUUAAAGAUUUUAUUUAUUUAUUUAUGAGAGACAGAGAGAGAGAGAGAGAGGCAGAGACAUAGGCAGAGGGAGAAGCAGACUUCCUGCAGGGAUCCUGUUGUGGGACUCAAUCCCAGGACCCCAAGAUCACAACCUGAGCUGAAGGCAGACACUCAACCAUUGAGCCACCCAGGAAUCCCACAUAGGAAUUUCUUAAUCAUCUUAAUAAGGGUUUCUGAAGUUCAGAACCAACGCAAGCAUCCUAUUAUUUGUCGUUUCUAGGAAAUCACGGGAUAAAACACAAUUAGAAGAUCCUUAGCUCUAAACUAAUAUUGUUAAUGCCAUCUACAUUUUGAUCUUUCUGUUUCUAUGUGUAUAAUAACGUACCAGAUCAGGGUUUCUAAAAAUGUCAUAUGAGCAACAGAAAACCAAACUGGACACUCUAGGGGAUCCAUUUGAAUCCCCUGAGAAGCUAAGGGACCCACAACCUCAAGAAAUGAAGAGUAGAAAUACAGGCUAUCUGGCCUGUUACUUGACUGAGGCGAAGGAUGAACCUAGGUGAAAAAUAAAAUGGUGAGGGAAAUUUUAAAUCCGCUAUUAAUAAGACAAAAAAUAGACAUUGGGCUUUUAAAGUUUAAUUAAGACCUUGGCAAAGAGCUGUUAUUUUAUACAGUAGAUAAAGAAAAAUUAAGUAGAAAUUGUUAGCCAUAAAAUCGGUAUGUCUAAAUGAUAUUUAUGGACUUUUCUAAUUUAUUAAAUCAUUUCUACUUAAUUUCAAGCAAAAUGAAAGAUGAGAGGGAUCUGUGGGUGAGAAGAAGAAACAGUGUUGUUUCCUGGUAAUUCUCAUCAUUACUUAUUCUUGUCCCUUCAGGAAUUAAGCUGCAAAAGUAGGGCAGAACCAGAAAAAUGUAUGAAAGCAAUGUGGAAUUUUUGAGGUAUGUUCCUAUGAAUGCAAUACUUUAAAGUGUAGGAGAGAUUAA
rnacentral:lncRNA from 1 species